rnacentral:sRNA from 1 species
UCUUACUUAAACAACGUAAGCCCUACCUCUCAUACGUCCUUACGGCUCCUAGACCGUGCCAGAUCGAUUAAGCUAUCUGAGAAAAAC